rnacentral:lncRNA from 1 species
CAGCUGGAGGAUUUCAAAGACUUGAUGGAAGAUUUAAGCAGCAGUGAUGGAAGCCAUUCGUCUUGGAGGCAACCUGAUUUAUAUGAAGCAUCUCCAGCAAGCUCCGAAUUCAGUUCCGGCUCCAGUCUCAUAUCAUACUCAGCACCUGAUGCAACAGAACAACCUCAAGGUGAAAUUGAUAUGCUGCAGAAUGAUAUCGAAACUGAUUUGCAAAUAGUGCCCAUCGAAGGACAAAACGGCAUAGGUGAAUGUGACAACAAGAUUGUGUCCGACGACAACAUAGCCGAAGGUAAUAGGAAAUUAGCAUUUGAACAGAAAUCAAUUUGUCAAAUUGCUGCAAAUUACUUUGCUUGAUCUAAGCAGACCAAUGCUGAUGAUAUUGGUGUACAUUUCAGGGGACCUGUUUCCAUCCUUCAAUGAACAAACAAGCGAUGGCAUCGUUGUUUCUGCUUCAUCAAAUACAAAGUUCGGCUCCCCUCAUCAAGUUACCCCGCUAUUCGGAUCCUUGGCAGUCGGGAUACCUAGUCCCCAAUUCUCCGAAAGUGUGAGUCUUUUGGAUAAUGUUCUUUCUGUAUUUAUUUGUUAUAACUGCACAAAGUUGGGAACUUAAAGCAGUUGGCUUUGCUUUUCUAAGUUCUAUGAUUCUGUCAUUUAUAGUGAACAAAUCAACUUCCAUAUUAGAGGUCAGGCUACUACGACGGAGCUGAGGUUCGAGAAUUUCAUUAGCUAGUUCCAGAAGUCGAUUUCACGUUAGGGGUUGCUCUAAGUUAUAAAGGCAGUAGUGCUGUCAAAAGUUUUCUCCAAGUGUUAUAAUACAAGGUUUCUGUUUGAUGAACUUCCUAACCCUUACAGAUCCAAGUUCUUAAGGGUUUCUUCAAUAUAACAAGUUACUUAUAUAAAAUCAUCAUCAGAUCUGUACGAAAGAAUGUAUAUCCUAAGGGUUAUAUAAUCAAUACCUUCACUUGCAUAUUAUAAUUUAUUGUAGUGAGACACCCAAUUUUUGUCUCACUGAGACAAGAAACCUUUUCCAACGUCAAGUUCCGAGAUUUCUACGAUCUUAUGUAUUCUUCAUGCUGUAAUUCAAGAGUAAUGACUCUGUAAUCCUCAUUUUUGUGUUGUCUUCUUUGUUUUUCAGGAACGUAGAUUCCUACUAAAAACUCUUGGAGUGGAGUCUCCUUUUGCCAAUCCAACCACCAACACCUCCCAACAACCACCCUGCAAAAGAGUCCUUCUCCAAAGUCUAUGAAAGAGCCUCACAAAGCUCAGUUAUUUCUACCUAUUUCCUCUGCAGCUAAUCUUCGCCGAAGUUUUAUUCGUAGGCACGUGAAGAUUUAUGCAUCCCCGUGUCUAGAAUGCCACGGUGUGCAUUCUAGCCACAAGCUCAGGACACAUCUAACAAUGUGAUCCUGAGUGCAAUUUUUUUUAUCAUUAGAGUGCUACCGCGGGGAGAAAGGUACUCCUCCGUGAUUGCUAAUGUGUGACAUUCUUUUCGUUUAUUCGCUUGCUUAGGAAUCCGGUAGAUGGACUACCGGAUCCUGUUUUUGGCCAUUCGAUUCACAUCAUCUGUACAGACCCUUACUACUACUAGAUAAUGAUAUUUGUAGUUAAGAGUGUAAUUAGAGAUCGGCAUCUCGCCUAUAUAAGAGUAGAGUAAGCAACAGGAGAAGAAAAGGAAAGUAAAGGAGGAUUAACCAGCUACUGAUUGGAUUCCCAUUUGUUGUUUUUUGAGUGUGCAUAGGGUAUAGAAUACAGUUUUCCAGUUUUCCUUUAGAGGCUUCCUCCUUUUGCCUGAAUUCUUAUGUAAUAGAUAAAAACCUUUGUUGGGUUUUGGAAUGGAAAUAUCUUCCUGGUUUUGGUGUGAAAAAUUCUCUACGAAGUUCCUGUCUUUACUGCAGUUUACACUCGAAACAUGCAAACAAGAGUGAGACUUGCUGCAUUCUGCAGUGUUCUUCACAACCAAAUACAAAGUUCUGAUCUUUACUGUAGUUUACACUCAAAACAUGCAAACAAGAGUGAGACUUGCUGCAUUCUGCAGUGUUCUUAGUGUUCUUCACAACCCAAGUACGAAAAGGUAAGUGGGAGAUCAAAGUGAUCAGCUUUACCUGAUUGUCUUUCCUUCUGUAGGCUCUUCUUGAUUGAUUGACUGAUUGGUUGACUGGCAUUGAUGAAAGACAAGGAAACCUUGAGUACUCUUUCUUCUGCUGCAAUAUUCCUGAGCUGCUGGGUUUUCCUUUUCUUUGCUUCUUCUGGGAAAGUUUUUGUGG